rnacentral:rRNA from 1 species
UGCCAGCAGCCGCGGUAACACAAAAAACGCAAGCGUUAUUCGGAAUUAUUAAACAUAGAGGGCGCGCAGGCGGUCUUGUCCGUCAGGUGUGAAAGCUCGGGGCUCAACCCCGGAAGUGCACUUGAAACAGCAAGACUUGAAUACGGUAGAGGAGAGAGGAAUUCCUGGUGUAGAGGUGAAAUUCGUAGAUAUCAGGAGGAACACCGAUGGCGAAAACAUCUCUCUGAACCGAUAUUGACGCUGAGGCGCGAAGGCGUGGGUAGCGAACGGGAUUAGAUA